rnacentral:rRNA from 1 species
CCCGCUGAACUUAAGCAUAUCAAUAAGCGGAGGAAAAGAAACCAACAGGGAUUGCCUCAGUAACGGCGAGUGAAGCGGCAAUAGCUCAGAUUUGAAAGCUGAUGCAUUAAUGCGUCCGCAUUGUAAUCUGUAGAGGUGUGUUCGGGUGUGGCCUUGGUCGAAGUUCCUUGUGAACAGGACAUCAUGGAGGGUGAGAAUCCCGUGAAUGGCCUCGGUCCUAUGCCCAUGUGAACCUCCUUCAACGAGUCGAGUUGUUUGGGAAUGCAGCUCUAAAUGGGUGGUAUAUUUCAUCUAAAGCUAAAUACUGGCAGGAGACCGAUAGCGCACAAGUAGAGUGAUCGAAAGAUGAAAAGAACUUUGAAAAGAGAGUCAAAUAGUACGUGAAAUUGUUGAAAGGGAAGCACUUGCGUCCAGACUUGCCUGUGGCUGAUCAGCCGUCAUUUUUGAUGGUGCACUCGGUUGAAGGCAGGCCAGCAUCGGUCAAGGCGGUGGGAAAAAGGUGCAAGGAAUGUGGCUCCUUCGGGAGUGUUAUAGCCAUGCGUGCCAUACCACCUGCCAUGACUGAGGACCGCGCUCCGGCGAGGAUGCUGGCGUAAUGGAUGUAAGCGGCCCGUCUUGAAACACGG